rnacentral:rRNA from 1 species
UGGCCUUGACAUGCAGAGAACUUUCCAGAGAUGGAUUGGUGCCUUCGGGAACUCUGACACAGGUGCUGCAUGGCCGUCGUCAGCUCGUGUCGUGAGAUGUUGGGUUAAGUCCCGUAACGAGCGCAACCCCUAUCCCUAGUUGCUAGCAGUUCGGCUGAGAACUCUAGGGAGACUGCCGGUGACAAACCGGAGGAAGGUGGGGAUGACGUCAGGUCAUCAUGGCCCUUACGGCCAGGGCUACACACGUGCUACAAUGGUGCGCACAGAGGGCUGCAAACCCGCGAGGGGGAGCCAAUCUCACAAAACGCAUCGUAGUCCGGAUCGCAGUCUGCAACUCGACUGCGUGAAGUCGGAAUCGCUAGUAAUCGUGAAUCAGAAUGUCACGGUGAAUACGUACCCGGGCCU